AUUGAACGCUGGCGGCAUGCCUUACACGUGCAAGUCGAACGGUAACGCGGGGCAACCUGGCGACGAGUGGCGAACGGGUGAGUAAUGCAUCGGAACGUGCCCAGUAGUGGGGGAUAGCCCGGCGAAAGCCGGAUUAAUACCGCAUACGACCUACGGGUGAAAGGGGGGAGUCGCAAGACCUCUCGCUAUUGGAGCGGCCGACUGUCAGAUUAGCUAGUUGGUGGGGUAAAGGACCUACCAAGGCGACGAUCUGUAGCUGGUCUGAGAGGACGACCAG
rnacentral:rRNA from 1 species